CACACACCCGCGUACGCACCUACCCUGCGGGGCAGUCCCUUCCCAAGCCAAGGGUUCAGCGCGGAGGUGCGGGCAGUAGACGCGCGCGUGCGCCCGGGGGCCGCUCAUCCCGAGGCCGCCUCUGCGCGUCCCCUGCACCGUGCGGGCGCCGCCAGAAGGAGGCCGGCGCGGAGCGGAGCCCGGGGAACGUGAGUCCUGACCGGCCGUUCCCCUCCGCUCUCACAGCCGGGCUCCGCGCUGCGGGCAGAUGCAGAAACUGAGGCACUGAGACUGCCAGCAGCGUGCAGUGGUGGGAAUGUCCCCAAGGCAGAAGUGAAUCAAGAUUCUUAGAUGAUGAGAGCUCCACUGAAAUAAGAAAGGUGCACUAAGUGAGGAAACAGACAUUGAACACCUACUCUGCCAGGAACAUCAGAACAGGAAGGUACAUCCUUAACAGCAGUAAUUAAGGACUUAGCGAGCUCUCUGUUUCACCAACCAACCCUUAAAGUCAACAAUCUCCUACUCAUCCAUUGGCACAUGUUUUCCUGAGUGAUAAUUGCCUCUCUUCCCACAGAUAUUGGUGUGCAUGGGUGCUCAGCUGUUCAGGCACGUCUGUCUCUUUACGACUUCUUGGACAGUAGCCCACC